UACGUAGGGUGCAAGCGUUGUCCGGAAUUAUUGGGCGUAAAGAGCUCGUAGGCGGUCUGUCGCGUCGGCUGUGAAAACUCGGGGCUCAACUCCGAGCUUGCAGUCGAUACGGGCAGGCUAGAGUUCGGCAGGGGAGACUGAAUUCCUGGUGUAGCGGUGAAAUGCGCAGAUAUCAGGAGGAACACCGGUGGCGAAGGCGGGUCUCUGGGCCGAUACUGACGUGAGGAGCGAAAGCGUGGGGAGCGAACAGG
rnacentral:rRNA from 1 species